GUGCUCGCUUUGGCAGCACAUAUACUAAAACUGGAACAAUACAGAGAAGAUUAGCAUGGCCCCUGUGCAAGGAUGACAUGCAAAUUCCAUAUUUUUAUAAAAAAUAU
rnacentral:snRNA from 1 species